rnacentral:rRNA from 1 species
CAGAUUCCUACGGGAGGCAGCAGUGGGGAAUAUUGCACAAUGGGCGGAAGCCUGAUGCAGCAACGCCGCGUGCGGGAUGACGGCCUUCGGGUUGUAAACCGCUUUCGCCUGUGACGAAGCGUGAGUGACGGUAAUGGGUAAAGAAGCACCGGCUAACUACGUGCCAGCAGCCGCGGUGAUACGUAGGGUGCGAGCGUUGUCCGGAUUUAUUGGGCGUAAAGGGCUCGCAGGUGGUUGAUCGCGUCGGAAGUGUAAUCUUGGGGCUUAACCCUGAGCGUGCUUUCGAUACGGGUUGACUUGAGGAAGGUAGGGGAGAAUGGAAUUCCUGGUGGAGCGGUGGAAUGCGCAGAUAUCAGGAGGAACACCAGUGGCGAAGGCGGUUCUCUGGGCCUUUCCUGACGCUGAGGAGCGAAAGCGUGGGGAGCGAACAGGCUUAGAUACCCUGGUAGUCCACGCUGUAAACGGUGGGUACUAGGUGUGGGGUCCAUUCCACGGGUUCCGUGCCGUAGCUAACGCUUUAAGUACCCCGCCUGGGGAGUACGGCCGCAAGGCCAAAACUCAAAGGAAUUGACGGGGCCCCGCACAAGCGGCGGAGCAUGCGGAUUAAUUCGAUGCAACGCGUAGAACCUUACCUGGGUUUGACAUGGAUCGGGAGCGCUCAGAGAUGGGUGUGCCUCUUUUGGGGUCGGUUCACAGGUGGUGCAUGGCUGUCGUCAGCUCGUGUCGUGAGAUGUUGGGUUAAGUCCCGCAACGAGCGCAACCCUUGUUCACUGUUGCCAGCACGUUAUGGUGGGGACUCAGUGGAGACCGCCGGGGUCAACUCGGAGGAAGGUGGGGAUGACGUCAAGUCAUCAUGCCCCUUAUGUCCAGGGCUUCACGCAUGCUACAAUGGCUGGUACAGAGAGUGGCGAGCCUGUGAGGGUGGGCGAAUCUCGGAAAGCCGGUCUCAGUUCGGAUUGGGGUCUGCAACUCGACCUCAUGAAGUCGGAGUCGCUAGUAAUCGCAGAUCAGCAACGCUGCGGUGAAUACGUUCCCGGGCCUUGUACACACCGCC